AUUCAUAUUCUCUGAAAAAUGGCCAAAAAAGCAAAAAUUCUGCCAGGGUAUGUAAACUUUUGAGCACAACUGUAAGUGUGAUGCUUGCUACCUGACCUGAGUACCAUGUGAACUGCAAAAAUGAGGGCUCCAGUGAGGCUCACUGUGUUUGUUCACACAUGUACGCUUUCAACCUAAGGGCCUCAGUGACCUCUCCCUUGGUGCCCCCAGUCACCAUAGCAAGUUUGGUAUUGAUUGCCUAAUUACUGUGGCUGUGCAUAGUGAACACAAAUCGUGUCACAUACAUACAGAGAUUGCCUUUUAUAUUUAUAGAUAAAUUUGCAAAAAUUUCAAAAAUUUUUUUCAUGUUGUCAUUAUGGGGUUCUGUGAGUAGCGUUUUAGACAAAAUUAAUUGACUGCAAUUUGGAAUAAGGCUGUAACUUAGCAAAAUGUGGAAAAAGUGAAGCGCUGUGAAUACUUUCUGGAUGAACCAUAAAUAAAGGCUGAUUAAAAGCUGCUGCAUUAAGAAUUAGUUACUGCAGUGCACAGCUUCGCUCAUUUGACUUAAGACAUUGUCCUCAGAAGAUUUACAUUCUUUAAAAUAAAAACUGUGUAUUAAAAAUUAUAACCAGAGUGUGAGUAUUUUAGCUUCACAGAUUUCUUUAGAAUGCAGGAAAAAGGCUUCAGGUUUUUUAAUUUUCCAGGGGAAGCCAAGUCACAACCCCUGCCCCUUCACUUAAAACGAGAUCUGACACUUGAGUUUCACAAGCUGAAAGUGCUGCAUGAUCGUUCACAGCUCACAUGUGCUGUUAUGCACAGAACGUGCCCACGCCCAUGCACUUCUCAUGUUAAAAAAAAAAAAAAAUCUGAUCACAAUUAUUCUGACAAUACUGAAGCAAAGUGGCUUCAGUAUUGUCGGCUUAUGUGCACAUUAAGCAUUUUAUGCCCAGAAAAUGAUCCUAAUCCUCACACUGAGGUGUGUGUUUUUCUGCUGUGCAUUCGGCCUACCUGUGUAUGUGUUUUUCACUGAGGAAGGCAGCGUGAAGUACUUCACACCCAAAAGUAAUUAAAUGAACAUUGGUGUUGGGUGUCAGCCCUUUAACACUGUCAACUUAUUGCUGACAAAGCUGAAAAUGUGUUCAGC